rnacentral:rRNA from 1 species
CGUGUAGGCGGUUGGUCAAGUCUGAUGUGAAAGCCCGGGGCUCAGCUCCGGAAGUGCAUCGGAAACUAGCCAGCUGGAGCGCGAUAGAGGAGGGCGGAAUUCCUGGUGUAGCGGUGAAAUGCGUAGAUAUCAGGAGGAACACCGGCGGCGAAGGCGGCCCUCUGGAUCGUUGCUGACGCUGAGACGCGAAAGCGUGGGGAGCAAACAGGAUUAGAUACCCUGGUAGUCCACGCUGUAAACUAUGGGUACUAGGUGUUCGGGGUAUUGACCCCCUGAGUGCCGCAGCUAACGCAUUAAGUACCCCGCCUGGGGACUACGGCCGCAAGGUUAAA